UCUGGAGAAGGGUGGAGAGGUGUAGAGGGGAAGCAAUAUUUGUACUAAAGGGAGUUGUCCUGGAGCUCAAACCCACACAACCAGACUUGGAAUCCUCACCUCCCUUAAGGCUCACCCCCAGCCCCUCCAGCUUCCAUCCACCCCUUCCCCGAGCAGCCCCGCCCCUCGAAGAACCUCGGAACACUGGGGCCUAACCAUCUCCCCCCAUCCCCCAUCUUGAGUGAAUGUGCCGAACAAACAGCAUUGUUCCCUACACAAUGGACACAAAGAACUUGGGAAUUCACAGAAUGGUCCUGAAUUUCUGCUUCCUUCCCCUCCAAGCCCUAGAGAGAUCCAUUGUCUGUAAACUCCACUUAAAAUAUGCACCAUAGCUCCAGCUGGGGAGCCACUUAAGACUUGCGGAAGCUCCUCCUCCCACCCCCACCCGCUGCUUUCCCUCCUUCCUAGCCCUUUCAGAGCUAGGCAGAAAGGAGGGGGAGCAGCAGCCACCUAGAGUCCCUGAUGGAGUCUGAAGCUGGGAACGACCCUGUCCACCCCCAAGUUCCGAGAUCGCAGAAGCUUUGAGAUCUGCCUGCAACUCGCUGUGAAAACCUUGGACAAGUCCCUUCCCUGCGGACUCCUGGGUUGUACUACAGUGAAGAGGUCGAAUUAGAUCAAAGAGGAUGCAUUCCAGGAAGCUGCUACUCAUCAUUCAACAUUAGCUCAUGACAUGAAACAUCUUUGCCACUCCUGGACUAGCUGAUCUCUGAAGGCCCUUCUCUCAUUGACAGCAAGGAUUGUGUGGCCUGGUUGAAUCAAUAUUACUUCUCCCUAGUUCCCACUUUUCCCUCCAGCUCAUUCUUUUGAUCAUCCCCAUCCCUCCCUCUCUCUCAUCUUGCCUUGUUUCCAAGUCUCUGCCGCUGAGUCCAUGUAAACCCUAGAUGAUGUCUGGGUCUCCAAGGUUCUGUUUACUGUCACUCAACU